UUCAUGCUCAUGAGAUUAUUUAUUUACUUAUUUAUUGGCUUGCCGUAAUGCUUACUUAUUUAUUCAUUUACUUUCUGUAAUGCUUGUAUCAGUUUCCAGCCAAGGAAGUAACACCAGUUGGAGGCACAAAAGCUACAUGCUGGUAUAUGGCUCAUACCUGGGGAAUUUGUUUGUUGACAAUGUACCAUCUUUGGUACUCCACAUUUGAAUGCACUCCCCCAAAAACACUGUCAAAACAAAAUUGCAAUUGUCACCUCAACGAGAGUAAAGAAUUUAUGCAAGAGAAGAAUUAGAAGGUUCAUAGCUUAGGAACAUAGAUUCAAGUUGCCUCAUAUCACUGUUCUUGUGUAGGACCAGUUGUCUGAAGCAAAACAAGGUCAUAAAUAGGGAAAAAUCAGGGAGGGAAGUUAUAACAAAGUGGGAAAAUCUAAAUUCCAAGAAUCAGGUUCUAUUUGAUGACAUUCUUAGAUUUUGAAGUAUUGAAAGCUAGGGUCUUAUUAAGAAUGCAUUUUAAGAGUUUUGGUAGUCAUAAGGAUGUUAUGUUAGAAUUAGAUGUGGUCAAUGAGUCACUUUCAAAGUGGCAAAAAAUAGCUAGCACAAGAUAAAGUCAUUUGUCAUUUGCUAUUAUAGAAUCAUCAAUAGGUAAGCUGCCAUUUUUGUACCUUCUGGAGACAUCAGUUAACAAUUAAAAUUUCAGGACAAAAACCUUGGUAAAAACAAUGGGUUUUUGAUAAUCUGUGGUGACAGAAAUAAACUUUAGAUGAUUUAUGUGUGGAAAGAGAUAAUUAUUUACUAUAUUUAGUUUUAUGAAACCCUGGAUCUUAUUCUUACUUUGCUGUUGGUAUAUGUUUGCCUAUGAAUUGUUAGUUUGCACAUUUAUUCAAUUGUGUUUUUAACCUGGGGAUUAAACUCUAGGGCCUUGAGUACUGUUUCUUGCGUAGUGUUAAAAUGGAUGGGACAAGGAUCUGUUUAGAUUUUGUUUGCUUGUUUGUGUUUUGGCUUUUUUUUUUAUUUUACUUGAUUUUUUUUUUUUUUUGCUUUUGAAACAUUGUCUUAUUAUAUAACUCAGCCAAACUGGCAUCCAGGUCACAGUAUUCCUGCCUCAGUAUCCUAAGUGUGGGACUACAGCCUUGCAUUAAUCCUACUCAUUUGUUUAAUCAUUCACAUUUAUUUUUUUAUUUAUUAUUCUUUCAUUUAUUUAAUUAGUGUGUGUCUGUAUGUGUGUACACGUGUGUGCUUGUGUGCUUGCUUGUGUGCAUCAAUGCACAUGGGCUACAGUGCUUUCUUUAUCUGUGGUGUUCUUGUGGCGAUCAACUUUCAGGACUCAGUUCUUUUUUCAGUUCAUUGUCUGUCAAGCUGUCUCUACUUGAGUUAGUAUAUAAAGCUUAUCUCUGAUUCUCAUGCUAGGAUCUCCUCAUGUGGUAAGAUUACUGUGUAUUUUUUUAAAACUUUAUUUGUGUGUGUGUUUGUGUGUGUAUGAGAGAGAGAUACAGAAAGAAUGCAUGAAUGAGCAUUGACGUUUGAACUCAAGAAGUCCUAUAUAUCUCACUAGAUAACCAUAAACUUAGCCUCCAUACACUCUACAUUCUUUUUCGUGGUGUUAAUUUAGCCCAGGAUCUUGUUCAUGUGAAACAAUUGCUCUGUUACUGAAACGUACCUGUAAACCAUAAGUUACUUUCUAAAUCAGGCCCCUCAAACUCACUGUCUUUCCUACCACAUCAGUACCAGGUAACCACCUACCACGUUCCAUUUUUUACAUAAUUUUUGGUAAAUACCUUUUAGAGGACCUUGGCUGGAUUUAUGAUGAGGUAUGUUUACUGAGCAUGAUGAAAUGAGGCUCAAUGAUUACUCUGAAGUCUAGCCAAAGUGUCAUAUUAAUGACUUAGGUAACAAAAUUUUGAAACUUAAGUUAUUAGAAUAUGAUAUCACAAAUUUUUUUCAAGGAGACUUGAGCUGUAGAUUUUUCCAAUAUAGCAAAAUUGGUUUUAUACCCAUUACAUUUCCUUUUGUAAAGUGCCUCUAUGUUCACAUCACAUAAUAGCAUUCACCUUGAUUUUCAUUUGAUAUAGAAACUUGAGAAAGACCUUGGAAGCUAAUGUGUCUUUUUCCAGUUACCGAGUUCUUGCCCUGGGUUAUAGUUUCUUGAGCAUGUUCCUAGUCAUUCUGAUAGCUUUUCCAUUUAAUAUAAUGACAUAUUGCUAGAUUUUUAGUAAGACAUUCAGUGAUUUUGAAAAAGAUAGGAAUUUGAUAUUUACCAGAAUGCUGAGGUGGAAUUCAGAAAGGUUAAUUUAUCUUUAUCCUCACAAGGCAUUGGUGGAAUAGAGAAAGUGUUACUAUGAUAUAAACGGGGAGGUGAAUUAACUUUGUGAUUGCUGGUACUGAGUGUGAGUAAUUAUUAAAUUGUUUAAUUUUUUGGCAGCAAGAGAACUUAUUCCCUAUUUGGGAUACUUGUUUUGGCAGAGUCUGGAUAAUUAUCUAUAUACCAGUUUGUUUUUGUUCCUCUGACAUGCCUCCUUGAGCAUUUCUUUUUGUAAUAUCAGCUACUGAUGUAGUAUUUUCUUAAUGUGGAGUAUUCUUUCUUUGUAAGAUUUACCUCUGAAUCUUUGCAUAUCUGCUUGUAUAUACAACAAGUAGAUUUAUGUUCUCAUACAAUUGUAAAUCAUCUCUAAAUCUUGAGGUAAUGAUAACUUUUAUAAAUGAUACAAUAUUACUUUAAAUAUAUACUAACUAUUUGCAUAAUUUAGUUAACAAAGAAAUGUAAGAUGGUUCUUGAUUAAAUAAAGUAUUGUAUUUUCAUGGUUCAGAGUAAAAUCAGAAAAUUAUUGUAUUUAUUUUUUGGUUUAUUUUGUAAAAAUCACUUAGAUUUUGAACAAGAAUAUGGUAUGUGAAAUGAUUACUGUGAUAAAAUAAGUAACCACAAGAGAAAUUUCUAUUACAUAUUUGGUAAAAAAUCAUCAUUUUAUAAAGAUUAUGGCAAGCAAAUUAAUGUUAUAUUCAUGUUUUAAGUUGCUAAGGAUAAUGUGAAACAAGGGGCUAUAAAAAGUGCAUAAAAUAUAAAUUGCAAAAAGUCAUUAUUUUCACUACAUUUGAGAAGUCAUUCAAAUAUGAUUAUGUCAUUUUCUUUAUGAGGAUUACAAUUGUGGUGUUUGUUAAAAUUUAGAAGAAAUGUUUUUAAAUAGUUUCAAAAUAAAAUAGAAUUUCUAUAGUAUAGUACAAUCUUUUAAUGGAUUAUUGUGGCUAUCCUUUCAUUGAGUACUAAUUUAUACAUGGUAGUCAUAGUUAUGUUUGUCAAAGAAGCUUAUGUUUAUUUACUUAACAAAUUUCUUUGUCAUGAUGGAAUUCAGAAAAACAUCACCCUGUUAUAUCUAGGAUUGAAUAUUCUUUUACAUUGACGUGUAUAAUAGAAUAAUGCACCAUGUUAAUUUAAUCUUAUAAAGAAAAGUGAUAGAUGAUUUUUGCAUUUGAAGAUCAUUAAAUUGCUAGAAUUAUUUUAUUGCUUGUUCAGGAAAUUCUAGACUGUUUUUAUGCCAUGUUAAAAGGGAUUCAGUAGAUAAGAGGGUACCAUUUGAGAGAGAUGAUUUUUACAUGGCUAUAUCCCAAUGAGAAACUAUUAGGUAUGUUUUGUGGAUGAAUCUGAUGCCAAGGAAUACUUGUCCUUUAUGAUAGGAAAGUUGUCUGUGAACAAAAGUCUAGUGACCCUAUGUUAUUAGUCCCCAAGUAUCAUCAUUAUUUCAAAGACAUAGUACAUAUUAUAUUCUUUAAUAUUUGUAUCAUAUCCAUAUAACUAACAUCAUUUACAGCAUUUUCUUACAUGAUAUAAAUAAAGUGUACAUUUUUUUGCUGUUUUAAAUUUUUAGUCUUUGAUGUAAGUAUGAUUGUCCCAUAUUACAUGUAUGUACAUGCAGUAUGAUAUACAUAUUAAUUCAUAAGUAUGUCUAUACUAAGAUAAAACAAUAGUUGCUGAAAUACAAGAUUACAAAUUUUAUUUGUCACCAGAGAAUAUGAUAUAGCAAAACAUUGUAUCAUACUUUGGAUUUAUAAAAUCAGUCAGUUACAUUCAACAAACACCAGAUUUCUGUCAGUGAAUCUUCCAUGGUUCCAUUUAUCAGUCAUGUUUUUGGAACUGAAUCAUUUAUUGUCAGAAAAGUAAGCUACAUAAUAAGAUUUGAUCCCCAUUCCCUCUGUUUAAAUAUUUGUGAGGAUUGUAACAGUUGUUCUAAGUAAUGUAUAUUGUGCAGACUUUUUAUCCAGUCUAAUUCUCAACUUGUUUCUACUAGUAUCCAUUUUUUAAAAUGUAACCUGGCAGUGUUUGACUACCCCAGAAAUAAUAGACUGACUUUGUGUAGACUGUCUGAAAUUCCUAAAUUUGUAGGAACACCAACUCCCAUCAACUACCAUAUUCACAUGGUGUUAAUAAUAAGAUUUAAUCAUCCUUAACAUUAGAACUAUCAAUCUCAAUUUUGUAUUUAAUCUAUAUGAGCUUUAUUUGAACCACUUCAUAUAUAUACAACUACUUUUGACUAUCUGCAUAAUUUGUGAUUACAUUUUCUGAAUAUAUUUUACUUUCAAAAUUCAGAAUAAGUGGUUUUGUGUGAUAAAAUGUUUUAAAACUAUAAUGUUUCAAAUGUAUGUAGUUACAUUAUUUUAAAAACUUCAUGAGUAGAGAAUAACUUUUGUUUAUGGAAAGUUAUAUUUAAACACUUGGCCUGUAAUAGUUCAGAUUUUCAAUGUAUAGACUAUAGGAAAAGAAUAAAUUAUUUUUGUUGUUAAAAUCCUUAUCUUUAUGUAGGUUUCAUUGUGUUGUAUGAUAAAGAUGAAUUACCUGAACAUAGUGUUAGCAAAGUCCUCUUUUAAUAUAUAUAGUACAAAAAUAUGUGUGUAUAUUCUACCAUGGUGUCAAGAUAAUUAUUUAGGAGUAUAACUCAAAUAUAAGCAUAAAAUAUCACUGUCCUUUGAAAAAUGUGUAUGCUAUAUAAAAAGCAUGUAGCUUCAUUUUUCUGAUCACUGAGAUUUGUGAUGCAAUUUAUUUCUCCAAAUGAUCUAGAUAUUUCAGAAUUACAUAGUUCUGUAUUCAUCAGAUACAUGGCAAAAAUUAACUUUGUAAGUAAUACGCUAUUUUUUAUAUCAAGCAACUGGUAAUUCUAGAAAUACUGAGACUUAGAAAUUAUAAGCUUAUAAAUAUAUUGUAAAUACUGUUGUCUAUUACAAUUAAUAUGACAAACUGAUAGUUUAUAGAGGGAAUCAUGGAGCUCACAGUUUUUCAUGUUUGUUUAAAUGUUAAAGGAGAAAUUAUAAACACUAUGCAUAUACUCUAUUCUCAUACUAGGAUAGUUGACCAUUUUUUCAUGUGAGUUGCACAUUAAAAAAUGACAUGGUAGGUAAUUCAGUUGGCUUGUUGAGCAAUAAUGAGCCUACUGAUGCACCUCUCUUCUACUUUUUUGGCAACUUUCAUGAAGAUUUUGUACUACCUCUUGGGACACUACAAAGUUUUGUAUGUGUUUCCUGGUUGCAUGACAAUAUUCAAGACAACUUUGUAAAUAAUAGUCAAAUACAAAAUUUUAACAUCUAGUCUUUCUAGAUGUAUAGAGUGUCACAGGGUAUAAUUUUGUAAAUACAUCAUUGUAAACUUUCAUUGCAUCCACUAAAUUUGGGAAAUGAAAAUUUUAAAGUUGAGAUUUUUUUCUACUUUAUGUUCAUUGUUAGGGGAGUGAGUUUUCUUAAGAAUAUUUAAAUUUAACUUUGGCUACAUAAUCUCAAGAAAAGUCUUCAUUAGCCAUAGGAUAAGUAAGGUUUAUAUUGUACAUUUAAGGGUGCAAAUUAUAAUUCUGUGGUUGUAUGAAUGAUAGGCCAUCAUGUAAAAAUACCUUGUUAGUUACUAUAGAUAAAAACUCUUAAGAAAUGUUACUUCUACCUCUGAAUUAAUAAACCCUUCUAUUUACAUUGCAUGACAGCAUUCAAGACAUGUUGUAAAUAACUGAUAAAUAUUUCGAUUUGAAAAAUUCAUUUUUUAGAUAUACAUUCUUAACAAAAGCCUGUGAAUAUUUCAUUGUAAUCUAACAUUAAUAAAAUUAUUCCAGCAAAUGCUUUUUCAAUGCAAUAGAUAAGGACUACUCAGUUUACUAAGUAUAAAAAUGUUUCUAAGUAGUUUCUCAUGGAGAGAAGAAUAAGCUAGGUCUUUUUACUUGGAGAAAAAUUAAAGAAUAGAAUUAGAUACUUUUUUCUACAUGAAGAAAGAUGAACAGUAAAAAAGAAAAUUUAAAUUAAUGAUAUAAUUACAAAAGCAUUAUUUCUUGCUUAUUUAAUCUAGGCAAAUUUGUUUAUUUAUAUUUAUAAUUAUAUUACAUUCACAUACAUUUUAUGUUAUAGUAGUAUAUAAACUACUUAGUCUUCAUCUUUCAUGUGUUUUUAUUUGUUUUUACAUUACUAUUCCCACUUUACAAAUUAAAAAUUAAUAUUUUAGUUCUAAAUCAGAUUAUUUAGCAAUCUCAAUGCUAUUGAUAGACACAUUUUGUUUUAAUGAAGAGCCUAUAACUUUGUUUAUUUGUUUAUACAACUUAUAAAUUUAUUUAUGUAUGUAUAUAUCUUCAGUGUAUAAAAUUUUAAAAACUUGUUAUAUUUUUGGAUGUUUUUCAUGUAGGAUUAUUAAAGGUAAACAUCUGGUGUUCCCUCUAAUGUACUGUAAGCAAAAGUAGCCUGUAUGACAUUAAAGGCAAUAUAAAUUAUAGAGCUGGGCUUGAUGAGGAACACUUAUACCAGCACCUGCCAAGAUUAUACUCGUCUACAUACCCAGUUUGAGGCCAGCCAUGGGUCAUAAGACCCUGUGUCAGAAGAAAACAUGAAAGCCAAAAAAAAAAAAAAAAAAAACCACUGAAUACCUUCCUACAAAAUCAGGAAUUAUAAAACUAUUUAAUUUUUUUUGAUAUUUUGGAGUUGGCUACUAAGAUUUUUAUCUUUUCUGAUUCUCAAAUUUAAUUGUUGAAUAUAAAAAUAGCAAAAUGCCAGAUCUGUCAGUGAACAGAUCGUAAGGAUUGUAGCUCAAUGUGAAUGUAAUUUAAUAUUUGAAAUAUCCUUUUUCUGUAGAAAUGGUGUUUGUUGAAUUUUAAUUGAAGAUAUGUACAAUUGACCUACAUGUAGAUAUAUUUUAGUUCUUCCAAUUGAAGUGGAUAAUUAUGGAAAUGUUAAUUGCACAUAGGUAAUAUCAGUCUGAAAGUUUACUUCUGUAUUAUGAUGUAUGUUAUUUUCUAGUAAUGAUUGAAGAUUUGUUCAAGUGAUUUAAACAGUGUAUUCAUGCUUGGAAAUUGUCACAUGAAAACAUCUAGAACAAAUGAACAAUUUAUGCAAACAGAAAACAUGUUCAGGAAGAUUGUUUUAACACUUCAAAAUAGGAAGGAGUAAGACCACAUCUAUCUGCCUUUGUAUUUUAGAAGGGCCUUUGCAAAUAAGCAACUAAACAACAAGAAAGAGACAAUUUAUGCCUUUGAUUGUCAACAUCAUGGGAGUGAUGGGUUGCCAUAUUAAACUUUCUAUUCCUAGCAGCCCUUAUGAAUGUUUUUGAACAUUUUGUGAAGAGUUUUAGACACUCCAGCACCUUAUGUGUCAACAAUGAGUAUUGCAUUAUCCAAUGAUAAAAAGGAGAAGAUGAAAAUUCACGUGAGUAUUAAGCUGAUUAUAUUUUGAGUGAUGAACCUAUGAGUGAAAUGUAUCAAAUAAAUGUUUUAAAGGGUAAACAUUUAUAAUGGCAUGGUAUCCUAAUGGGUAUAGGAUGCUAUAUUAAAUAGUUUUUGUUAUGUCACAUUUGGGAUAAAUUGCAAAUUUUAAUAUUACUUUUUUGUGCUUGGAAUAUAACCCAGGGUCUGAAGCAUGGUAAAGUACAAGCUGAACCACUAAACUACUAAACUAAAUUCCAGUCAUUCUAUGUAAUUUUUACAUAUAUGAAGAAUAGAUUAUUCCUUCAUUGUAUGUGUUUGAUAUGCUUCAGGGAUCUCAUGUAGGCAUUUACAGAUGCAUAGAUCCUACGAAAUUACCUGGGAGAACUUUAAAUAGUGAUACUAUUAUAUAGAAAUUUAGAGUGGUAGAGAUAUGGCUCACCUGUUAAAAGCACUUAACAUUCUUUCAGACCUGAGCUCUGUCCCCAGCUACUUGUGGUGACUCACUGCUGCCUGUAACUCCAGAACCUGGGGAAUCUAAAAUGUCUCUGAAUCAGGCAUCUGCUCUCACAUGCAUAUAUUCACAUAAAAGCACAUACACAUGAAUUAAAAAUAAGAUGCUGGAGUCAAGGUUUGUUGAGUACAUAAACUGUAUUUCUGGGGGACUUCAGUUAUAUUUGUAGCACCCAAAGAAAUAUUACUCAUCUUUUGGUAUCUGAUGCUCCUGGACACUGAGGGCUCCCACACACAUAAUAAGUGGGACCUGGAUAGAAAUAUUUGCUGUUAAAUAUGAAUUUGUGGCCCUGAGAACAGAAUAAUGCUCCUAAUACAUGUUUCAUAAACAACAUGCUUUGUACUGGCUACUUUUUUUUUCAGGUAAUUAUCAUGACAGACCAAUUAAACCUACUGUGAUAGCAACUUCUGGAGUCUACGAAAAUUUACUUUACUAUAGUGAACUACAAACUAUAGGUGAUCACCAAAAUAAUCAUUGUAUCUACAACCUUCAUAAUUGUAAAAUGAUCUCAGAAGGUGUUGCGUGACUAAUCUUAUUGAUCAUUAAAACUGAAUUCAACUUAUUGGAUGGAGACUGAAAUAUGCCUUUGAAGAAAAUAUUUUAUAUAUAUUUAAAGAUUUUCAUUGAUUUUGUUGGACUAACUCAAUAAAUGGAGACACUACCACAUGGAUAAAAAUAGUAUGAUGGAACUGACAUUGGCUUCACAGUGUUUUCAUAAAGUAUUACCUGUAUGUAGUCAAAUUUUUCCUCAGAGUUGAUGCUUACAAUUAUUUGUCAAGUUGGAAAAAAUGCACUUUUAAUUUCAUUUGCACCACAUUUAAUAGAUUAAGUAGGAGAGAAUAGAUAUCUUUAAAAUUGAGUCUUCCUAUACAUCCUCAAGUAUGCAGGUGCCUGAGGAGUAGAGAAGAUUAUAUUGGAUCCUACUGGAGCUUCGGUUGUGAGCUUCCCAACAUGGGUGCAAGGAACCAAACUUGGGUCUUCUAGAAGGAGGAUUCUGGGAUUACAAUCACGUAUCACAGCACCAGGUUUAUGUGGUUCUGGGGCUCAAACUCAUAGAAUCCUGAAGGCUGGAUAACUACUCUACCAAUUGAAGUACUACACCCAAACCAAAGCUCAAUUGGCUGAAAUAUACUCCUUUCUCUUGGGCUAGUUGCACUCCCUGCCUAAAGACCUACUUGACAGAUAUCCCAUGGUUCUGAAACCUCCAAUGUUCUGGGGUCCUCUUCAUGCAAUGCCCUCUCAAGACCUCCAUGCAGGUGGUGGCCAAAUAUACCUUCUGAAGAGGUUUUAUCAUCAGGAUUUCCCUAAUACACUUAUUGUAUUUACUGUUUCUGGAGUCUUAUUCAACCCUUAUCAUCUCACAACUUGUAUAGAAGACUUCAGUGGAAUAUAAAAGACCUGGUUUUGGCAAGUAAUUGACUGGGACGUUCAGUACUUCUGCUUUCAGUAUAUCUUGUGCUCACUUAUUGUAUGUUACCUCUUCUCUUAUUCAUAUUUUACUUUUUAAAUGGAAGAGACUUUUAUGUGUAGGUAGUACAAUUAUUGUACACAGAUAUUUUUAUGAUACUUCAGAUGAUAAGAAGGUUUUCUGACUAAUUGACUUUCCCUGUAUACCAGUUUUGUUAUCAUUUGUGAGAUGGUUUCAUCCCCUUUAAACAAGAAACUCAAAUUUCACGCAAUCCCCAGAGAAGAUCAUCUUCCACAGUCAUAUUCUCUAGGGAAGACCCUCCUCUGAUUUCUGUUUUAUUGGUAUUACUGGCCUCUGUCUGGGCCAGGAAAAUGGGUCUCUGUGGUUUAUCUUUUCUCCAAUACCUCAACCGCAGACUUCAAUACCAUUGCAACUAUGAGUAUGUAGAGAAAUGUUCUUGCAUUGUUGAGGAGAACCAUGCAGAUGCUCUAAUCACUUUACUGGUAUCACCUAUGUCCCUUCAGGUAAGGGUAAAACCUCACUGUUUCAAAGAGAUUUGAGUUUAUUACACAGUGUGUUGAUUUUCACUUGUUCCUGCUUAAAUUAAGUGAAGUCAUAAAGUACUAUUUAUUUUAAAUAUUAGUUGUCUGUUUUUAGACCAUAAGUCAUACUGUUCAUCAGGAAAUUACUAUCUGAAUUUCUCAACCUGUUUUAAUAGUUGUUAAGAGUACAAACAACUGAUAAGAAUUUUUAAAGUGUGUGUGUGUGUGUGUGUGUGUGUGUGUGUGUGCUCUUAUGUAAGUAUGUUCAUGUUAGGUGUCUGUAGAGGUCAGAAAUCAAAGUCAGAUCCCCUGGAGCUGGAGUUAUGGGUGAGCCAUGAUCACUCAAGCACCAGAUAUUUUAAGGUUAUUUAAUAAUUCCUUUCUUUGAAAGUUUGUGUAGUUUAACAGUGGAAAAAGGUGAUUUCCAUCCAAGCCUGGCAACCUCAGUUUUGUAUUUGUAACUCAAGUGGGACAGAAUAUAGCAGAAAACAGAAGAUUUAAUGGAUUUUUCUAAUCUCAUAAAUUUGUAGUAUAACACAUGUUUCAUUAUAUUAUUAUGACAUUGCAGCUGGAUUCUGAGGUAUGUCCUGUGUUCUUUUUAUGAUAUCCAUUUAAUUCACAGGCAGUGAAGUUCCUUCUUUAACAGCAAAGUUAAUGUAUUUCAGUUAAUUUCCUAUAUUAACACUUUGAAAGUUCAUAUUAAUCUUGAUUCUAAUCAGACACAGUGACAGUGCUUGAAACA